UUUUCAAAGGCUCAAGAACUGAUACUUCUGGGGAUCUGACACUUCUGAGGCACUCGCAUGCUUCAACCACCCUGGAUAAUUAGGAGGGCACUUCUACCUCAACCGUCUUGGACAACGUUAACGUCAGCAACACUCAACCAAGACAUGAUUCCCAGCAGAACACAGCACUUCAAGUGGUUACAUCCCAAACUUCUUCAAAGUGCUCCACUGCAAAGCAAGCUGGGAAGGUGAGGAGCAAGUGGACAGGUAAUGAAGUGAAGGCUGUGGAGCGCCACAUGAUUAAUUUCAUAACCAGCUGAAAGGUGCCAGGUAAAAAGGACUGUG